rnacentral:rRNA from 1 species
GAUGAACGCUGGCGGCGUGCCUAAUACAUGCAAGUCGAGCGAACGGACGAGAGGCUUGCUUCUCUGAUGUUAGCGGCGGACGGGUGAGUAACACGUGGAUAACCUACCUAUAAGACUGGGAUAACUUCGGGAAACCGGAGCUAAUACCGGAUAAUAUUUUGAACCGCAUGGUUCAAAAGUGAAAGACGGUCUUGCUGUCACUUAUAGAUGGAUCCGCGCUGCAUUAGCUAGUUGGUAAGGUAACGGCUUACCAAGGCAACGAUGCAUAGCCGACCUGAGAGGGUGAUCGGCCACACUGGAACUGAGACACGGUCCAGACUCCUACGGGAGGCAGCAGUAGGGAAUCUUCCGCAAUGGGCGAAAGCCUGACGGAGCAACGCCGCGUGAGUGAUGAAGGUCUUCGUAUCGUAAAACUCUGUUAUUAGGGAAGAACAUAUGUGUAAGUAACUGUGCACAUCUUGACGGUACCUAAUCAGAAAGCCACGGCUAACUACGUG